rnacentral:rRNA from 1 species
GACGAACCUUGGCGGCGUGCCUAAUACAUGCAAGUAGAACGCUGAAGAGAGGAGCUUGCUCUUCUUGGAUGAGUUGCGAACGGGUGAGUAACGCGUAGGUAACCUGCCUUGUAGCGGGGGAUAACUAUUGGAAACGAUAGCUAAUACCGCAUAACAAUGGAUGACACAUGUCAUUUAUUUGAAAGGGGCAAUUGCUCCACUACAAGAUGGACUGCGUUGUAUUAGCUAGUAGGUGAGGUAACGGCUCACCUAGGCGACGAUACAUAGCCGACCUGAGAGGGUGAUCGGCCACACUGGGACUGAGACACGGCCCAGACUCCUACGGGAGGCAGCAGUAGGGAAUCUUCGGCAAUGGGGGCAACCCUGACCGAGCAACGCCGCGUGAGUGAAGAAGGUUUUCGGAUCGUAAAGCUCUGUUGUAAGUCAAGAACGAGUGUGAGAGUGGAAAGUUCACACUGUGACGGUAGCUUACCAGAAAGGGACGGCUAACUACGUGCCAGCAGCCGCGGUAAUACGUAGGUCCCGAGCGUUGUCCGGAUUUAUUGGGCGUAAAGCGAGCGCAGGCGGUUUGAUAAGUCUGAAGUUAAAGGCUGUGGCUCAACCAUAGUUCGCUUUGGAAACUGUCAAACUUGAGUGCAGAAGGGGAGAGUGGAAUUCCAUGUGUAGCGGUGAAAUGCGUAGAUAUAUGGAGGAACACCGGUGGCGAAAGCGGCUCUCUGGUCUGUAACUGACGCUGAGGCUCGAAAGCGUGGGGAGCGAACAGGAUUAGAUACCCUGGUAGUCCACGCCGUAAACGAUGAGUGCUAGGUGUUGGAUCCUUUCCGGGAUUCAGUGCCGCAGCUAACGCAUUAAGCACUCCGCCUGGGGAGUACGACCGCAAGGUUGAAACUCAAAGGAAUUGACGGGGGCCCGCACAAGCGGUGGAGCAUGUGGUUUAAUUCGAAGCAACGCGAAGAACCUUACCAGGUCUUGACAUCCCGAUGCUAUUUCUAGAGAUAGAAAGUUACUUCGGUACAUCGGUGACAGGUGGUGCAUGGUUGUCGUCAGCUCGUGUCGUGAGAUGUUGGGUUAAGUCCCGCAACGAGCGCAACCCCUAUUGUUAGUUGCCAUCAUUCAGUUGGGCACUCUAGCGAGACUGCCGGUAAUAAACCGGAGGAAGGUGGGGAUGACGUCAAAUCAUCAUGCCCCUUAUGACCUGGGCUACACACGUGCUACAAUGGUUGGUACAACGAGUUGCGAGUCGGUGACGGCAAGCUAAUCUCUUAAAGCCAAUCUCAGUUCGGAUUGUAGGCUGCAACUCGCCUACAUGAAGUCGGAAUCGCUAGUAAUCGCGGAUCAGCACGCCGCGGUGAAUACGUUCCCGGGCCU